rnacentral:rRNA from 1 species
GGGUCCGCACAAGCGGUGGAACAUGUGGUUUAAUUCGACGCAACGCGCAAAACCUUACCUGGAUUUGACAUCCCGGGACCACCUCAGAGAUGAGGUUUUCUCUUCGGAGACCCGGUGACAGGUGCUGCAUGGCUGUCGUCAGCUCGUGUCGUGAGAUGUUGGUUAAGUCCCGCAACGAGCGCAACCCCUGUCCCUAGUUGCCAGCAUUCAGUUGGGCACUCUAGGGAGACUGCCGGUGAUAAGCCGGAGGAAGGUGGGGAUGACGUCAAGUCCUCAUGGCCUUAUGUCCAGGGCUACACACGUGUUACAAUGGGGGUGACAAAGAGUUGCCAAUGCUGCGAAGCUGGCGCAAA